rnacentral:rRNA from 1 species
CAGUCGCCACGGUAAUACAGAGGGUGCGAGCGUUAAUCGGAUUUACUGGGCGUAAAGCGUGCGUAGGCGGCUUCUUAAGUCGGAUGUGAAAUCCCUGAGCUUAACUUAGGAAUUGCAUUCGAUACUGGGAAGCUAGAGUAUGGGAGAGGAUGGUAGAAUUCCAGGUGUAGCGGUGAAAUGCGUAGAGAUCUGGAGGAAUACCGAUGGCGAAGGCAGCCUUCUGGCCUAAUACUGACGCUGAGGUACGAAAGCAUGGGGAGCAAACAGGAUUAGAUACCCCUGUAGUCCCUGUCUCUUAUAC